GACGAACGCUGGCGGCGUGCCUAAUACAUGCAAGUCGAGCGCAGGAAGCUGACGGAACUCUUCGGAGGGAAGGCAGUGGAAUGAGCGGCGGACGGGUGAGUAACACGUAAGGAACCUGCCUCAAGGAUUGGGAUAACUCCGAGAAAUCGGAGCUAAUACCGGAUAGUUCAACGGACCGCAUGGUCCGCUGAUGAAAGGCGCUUCGGCGUCACCUUGAGAUGGCCUUGCGGUGCAUUAGCUAGUUGGUGAGGUAACGGCCCACCAAGGCGACGAUGCAUAGCCGACCUGAGAGGGUGAUCGGCCCCACUGGGACUGAGACACGGCCCAGACUCCUACGGGAGGCAGCAGUAGGGAAUCUUCCACAAUGGACGAAAGUCUGAUGGAGCAACGCCGCGUGAGUGAUGAAGGUUUUCGGAUCGUAAAACUCUGUUGUAAGGGAAGAACACGUACGAGAGGAAAUGCUCGUACCUUGACGGUACCUUACGAGAAAGCCACGGCUAACUACGUGCCAGCAGCCGCCGCGG
rnacentral:rRNA from 1 species